CGUGUCCCUGUCAUUUUAGGUGGCGGUUGGGCAGGCAGUCAUGGAUCAGGCAAUGCAGUUUGUUGAGCCAAGUCAGCAGUUUGUAAAGGACUCCAUUUGGCUGGUUAAAAGAUGCACCAAACCUGAUAGAAAAGACUUCCAGAAGAUUGCCAUGGCAACAGCAAUAGGAUUUGCUAAAUGGGAUUCAUUGGCUUCUUUGUGAAAUUGAUCCAUAUUCCUAUUAAUAACAUCAUUGUUGGUGGCUGACUGAAUUCAUUUUGGAAGAGAGUUUUUCAUCUUAGAGACUGGUGAACAAGUGUGAGGGUGUGAGUAGCUCACGAAAUACAAAUUUGCCUGUAUGUUUUAUGGGUUUUUUUUUCUCCUUUCAAGAUGUUUUCUAUUUCUAAAUUAUUUUCAAAGUAAA